rnacentral:rRNA from 1 species
GAUGAACGCUGGCGGCGUGCCUAAUACAUGCAAGUCGAGCGAACGGACGAGAAGCUUGCUUCUCUGAUGUUAGCGGCGGACGGGUGAGUAACACGUGGAUAACCUACCUAUAAGACUGGGAUAACUUCGGGAAACCGUAGCUAAUACCGGAUAAUAUUUUGAACCGCAUGGUUCAAUAGUGAAAGACGGUCUUGCUGUCACUUAUAGAUGGAUCCGCGCUGCAUUAGCUAGUUGGUAAGGUAACGGCUUACCAAGGCAACGAUGCAUAGCCGACCUGAGAGGGUGAUCGGCCACACUGGAACUGAGACACGGUCCAGACUCCUACGGGAGGCAGCAGUAGGGAAUCUUCCGCAAUGGGCGAAAGCCUGACGGAGCAACGCCGCGUGAGUGAUGAAGGUCUUCGGAUCGUAAAACUCUGUUAUUAGGGAAGAACAUAUGUGUAAGUAACUAUGCACAUCUUGACGGUACCUAAUCAGAAAGUCACGGCUAACUACGUG